rnacentral:lncRNA from 1 species
UCGGUUGGCAUUUCAGGUAAUGAAUGUCUAUUAGGACAUCGCGACGAUUGUUACAAGCUCGAAGAGAGUACCGGGUCGUGACAUAGCAAGUGGACAAUGAUUUGUCCUCUUUUCUUCUUUGAUUUCCAACAAAGAAUCAAAGGAGAAGUUUUCAAAAAAAAUAAACUUCUCAAGAGUGGUUGCACUCAAGAGAAAAACCUUUUUUU